rfam:Tessaracoccus bendigoensis DSM 12906 genome assembly, contig: EK12DRAFT_scaffold00140.140
UGACAAGCUACUAAGUGCGAUCGGUGGAUGCCUUGGCACCAAGAGCCGAUGAAGGACGUUGUAACCUGCGAUAAGCCAUGGGGAGCUGGUAAACGAGCUUUGAUCCGUGGAUUUCCGAAUAGGGAAACCUUGAAUUUCCGGAGUCAUGUCCGGCGACCUCUGCCUGAAUGUAUAGGGCAGUUGGAGGGAACGUGGGGAAGUGAAACAUCUCAGUACCCAUAGGAAGAGAAAACAAUUGUGAUUCCGUUAGUAGUGGCGAGCGAACGCGGAAGAGGCCAAACCUUACUUGUGUGAUAGCUGACAGGCGUUGCAGGUUGGGUGUUGUGGGGCCGUUUUGGUUGCGCUGUCGAGCAGCUGGAGAGUUAUAAAUGAUCAGUGAAGUUGAAGUAGUCUGGAAAGCUACAGCAUAGCGGGUAAUACUCCUGUAGACGUAAGUUGGUCACUCUUUAACGUUACCCCAAGUAGCACGGAACCCGUGAAAUUCCGUGUGAAUCUGGCGGGACCAUCCGCUAAGCCUAAAUACUCCUUGGUGACCGAUAGCGGACAAGUACCGUGAGGGAAAGGUGAAAAGUACCCCGGGAGGGGAGUGAAAUAGUACCUGAAACCGAUCGCAUACAAUCCGUCGGAGCCUCUUUUUUGGGGUGACGGCGUGCCUUUUGAAGAAUGAGCCUGCGAGUUAGUGGUAUGUGGCAAGGUUAACCCGUGUGGGGUAGCCGUAGCGAAAGCGAGUCCUAAUAGGGCGUUUGAGUCGCAUGCUCUAGACCCGAAGCGGAGUGAUCUAUCCAUGGCCAGGUUGAAGCGACGGUAAGACGUCGUGGAGGACCGAACUCACUUGGGUUGAAAACCGAGGAGAUGAGCUGUGGAUAGGGGUGAAAGGCCAAUCAAACUCCGUGAUAGCUGGUUCUCCCCGAAAUGCAUUUAGGUGCAGCGUCGCGUGUUUCUUACCGGAGGUAGAGCACUGGAUGGUCUAGGGGGCCUAAAAGCUUACCGAAAUCAGCCAAACUCCGAAUGCCGGUAAGUGAGAGCGCGGCAGUGAGACAGUGGGGGAUAAGCUUCAUUGUCGAGAGGGAAACAGCCCAGAUCAUCAGCUAAGGCCCCUAAGCGUUAACUAAGUGGAAAAGGAUGUGGAGUUGCGGAGACAACCAGGAGGUUGGCUUGGAAGCAGCCACCCUUGAAAGAGUGCGUAAUAGCUCACUGGUCAAGUGAUUCUGCGCCGACAAUUUAGCGGGGCUCAAGUUAACCGCCGAAGCUAUGGCAUUCGCAUGUGUGACGGUAACGUCGUGCGGAUGGGUAGGGGAGCGUCGUGUGCGCGUUGAAGCGGCGGGGGGACCUAGUCGUGGAGAGCACACGAGUGAGAAUGCAGGCAUGAGUAGCGAAAGACGGGUGAGAAACCCGUCCGCCGAAUAUCCAAGGGUUCCAGGGUCAAGCUAAUCUGCCCUGGGUAAGUCGGGACCUAAGGCGAGGCCGACAGGCGUAGUCGAUGGACAACGGGUUGAUAUUCCCGUACCGGCGAAAUAUCGUCCGUGCUGAAUCGAGUGAUGCUGAGCAUGCGAGGUCUGGUGAUGUCUU